rnacentral:rRNA from 1 species
UGGGGAAUUUUGGACAAUGGGGGAAACCCUGAUCCAGCCAUCCCGCGUGUGCGAUGAAGGCCUUCGGGUUGUAAAGCACUUUUGGCAGGAAAGAAACGUCAUGGGUUAAUACCCCUUGAAACUGACGGUACCUGCAGAAUAAGCACCGGCUAACUACGUGCCAGCAGCCGCGGUAAUACGUAGGGUGCAAGCGUUAAUCGGAAUUACUGGGCGUAAAGCGUGCGCAGGCGGUUCGGAAAGAAAGAUGUGAAAUCCCAGAGCUCAACUUUGGAACUGCAUUUUUAACUACCGGGCUAGAGUGUGUCAGAGGGAGGUGGAAUUCCGCGUGUAGCAGUGAAAUGCGUAGAUAUGCGGAGGAACACCGAUGGCGAAGGCAGCCUCCUGGGAUAACACUGACGCUCAUGCACGAAAGCGUGGGGAGCAAACAGG